rnacentral:lncRNA from 1 species
UGUAGAGGGAACCAGGCCUUUAUACCCUGGCUUGGAUCAGUCCCUGAUCACAGGCUGCCCCUGGAAAGAGGCAUGACUUUGGGAAGGGCUAUUUUUUUCAGGUGAGGUGAUCCAGGGCGGACGGCUGAAAGCCACCUCUGGCAGCACUCCCAGAAGCUGGGCAAAUAAGGCAACAGAGGCCAGAGGAGGUUCAGUGAUGCACCCAGGGCCACAUAACCAGUGAAUGUUGGGGAUCAGAUUAGAGUGCCCACGUCUCCAGCCUCCUUCUGCCAUUGACACCAUCACAUCGACCAUCCGGGCAAGACCCCCGCACCGCCCCCAAGGGCGCAGGCUUGAUUUCACUGCCAAGCCAAUAAUGUCAGCAACAGCACUUAUGGUGCUGGACCAUAAAUGAAACAAGCUUUGAGAACUAACUGCCACCCCAGAGGCCUCAGGGAGGAGGUGGCUGCCCUCAAAGGCUCAGUCUCGUAUUCUGUAACCUCUCUACCCUGAAGAAGAUCCCACCAGCUGCCUCUUCUUCCAGAUCCUGCCAAGAAUUAGGCAUCUCCCAACCCCACUCCUGGGCCUCUUCUCCACAUUCUCCCUGCCAAUCAUCCCCUUUAAUAAAAAACGGUGAAUAAUUUUCUAGCAUGCAUCUUUGGAUUGUUUACUGAUUACCAUAAACAUUAGCUGCUUUUGAAAUGCAUUUUUUCAGCUUACUGUAUUUUUUUUUGACUGAUUUUUUUUUUUUUUGAGAUGAAGUCUCACUCUGUCACCCAGGCUGGAGUACAGUGGCUUCAUGUCGGCUCACUGCAACCUCUGCCCGCCAGAUUCAAGC